GUGUAUGUGCACCAUGCAGACUGGCACCCAGAUGACCAAACCGAAAGGAAAUAUGCGGCUGGUCAGGUUCUUCUACCUGGAUGAACACAAGUCCUCAAUCCGCUGGAUGCCCUCCAGGAAGCAUGAUAAGGCUUAAAGACAUGAGCCCUAGGACCAUGCCUCAGGACUACCUGGUAUGAUGACUCCUUGCUGUCCCCAGUCCACCUGGCCGUGCUGCUGCUCCAGUUUCAACUGUUCUGCCUGCGGCUAUGGAACCCUGACCUGUUCACCGGACGUGCUUGUUGCACCCUCGACAACUACUAUGAUUAUUAUUAUUUGACCAUGCUGGUCAUUUAUGAACAUUUUAACAUCUUGACCAUGUUCUGUUAUAAUAUCCACCCUGCACAGCCAGAAGAGGACUGGCCACCCCUCAUAGCCUGGUUCCUCUCUAGGUUUCUUCCUAGGUUUUUGGCCUUUCUAGGGAGUUUUUCCUAGGGAGUUUUUCCUAGCCACCGUGCUUCUUUCACAUGCUUUGCUUGCUGUUUGGGGUUUUAGGCUGGGUUUCUGUACAGCACUUUGAGAUAUCA
rnacentral:lncRNA from 1 species